ACUCUAAGCGGUGGAUCACUCGGCUCAUGGGUCGAUGAAGAACGCAGCAAACUGUGCGUCAUCGUGUGAACUGCAGGACACAUGAACAUCGACAUUUUGAACGCAUAUCGCAGUCCAUGCUGUUAUGUACUUUAAUUAAUUUUAUAGUGCUGCUUGGACUACAUAUGGUUGAGGGUUGUAAGACUAUGCUAAUUAAGUUGCUUAUAAAUUUUUAUAAGCAUAUGGUAUAUUAUUGGAUAAAUAUAAUAAUUUUUAUUCAUAAUAUUAAAAAAUAAAUGAAAAACAUUAUCUCACAUUUGAAUGUGAAAAACGAAGAGAAAUAUUUUCUUUUUCAAUCAAAUAAUACUGAGAAAUGUCUAGCAUAAAAAAUUGAAAUAUUUUUCAUCUAGAAUUGUCUCUUAUUAAUGAUUCGGAAAUAGAAAAAUCUUGGUUAUGUUAUUAUUCUUCGUUGGUUCGUUAAAAAUGGAUAAAUAAAAACUUUGCAUACAAGAAUUAAUAAAAAUGUUAUAACGAAUUUAAUUAAAUGUUUUAUCAUUAUAUAUAAAGAAUUUAUGGCAAGAUAAAGUUAUAUACAACCUCAACUCAUAUGGGACUACCCCCUGAAUUUAAGCAUAUUAAUUAGGGGAGGAAAAGAAACUAACAAGGAUUUUCUUAGUAGCGGCGAGCGAAAAGAAAACAGUUCAGCACUAAGUCACUUUGUCUAUAUGGCAAAUGUGAGAUGCAGUGUAUGGAGCGUCAAUAUUCUAGUAUGAGAAAUUAACGAUUUAAGUCCUUCUUAAAUGAGGCCAUUUACCCAUAGAGGGUGCCAGGCCCGUAUAACGUUAAUGAUUACUAGAUGAUGUUUCCAAAGAGUCGUGUUGCUUGAUAGUGCAGCACUAAGUGGGUGGUAAACUCCAUCUAAAACUAAAUAUAACCAUGAGACCGAUAGUAAACAAGUACCGUGAGGGAAAGUUGAAAAGAACUCUGAAUAGAGAGUUAAACAGUACGUGAAACUGCUUAGAGGUUAAGCCCGAUGAACCUGAAUAUCCGUUAUGGAAAAUUCAUCAUUAAAAUUGUAAUAUUUAAAUAAUAUUAUGAGAAUAGUGUGCAUUUUUUCCAUAUAAGGACAUUGUAAUCUAUUAGCAUAUACCAAAUUUAUCAUAAAAUAUAACUUAUAGUUUAUUCCAAUUAAAUUGCUUGCAUUUUAACACAGAAUAAAUGUUAUUAAUUUGAUAAAGUGCUGAUAGAUUUAUAUGAUUACAGUGCGUUAAUUUUUCGGAAUUAUAUAAUGGCAUAAUUAUCAUUGAUUUUUGUGUUUAUUAUAUGCACUUGUAUGAUUAACAAUGCGAAAGAUUCAGGAUACCUUCGGGACCCGUCUUGAAACACGGACCAAGGAGUCUAACAUAUGUGCAAGUUAUUGGGAUAUAAACCUAAUAGCGUAAUUAACUUGACUAAUAAUGGGAUUAGUUUUUUAGCUAUUUAUAGCUAAUUAACACAAUCCCGGGGCGUUCUAUAUAGUUAUGUAUAAUGUAUAUUUAUAUUAUUUAUGCCUCUAACUGGAACGUACCUUGAGCAUAUAUGCUGUGACCCGAAAGAUGGUGAACUAUACUUGAUCAGGUUGAAGUCAGGGGAAACCCUGAUGGAAGACCGAAACAGUUCUGACGUGCAAAUCGAUUGUCAGAAUUGAGUAUAGGGGCGAAAGACCAAUCGAACCAUCUAGUAGCUGGUUCCUUCCGAAGUUUCCCUCAGGAUAGCUGGUGCAUUUUAAUAUUAUAUAAAAUAAUCUUAUCUGGUAAAGCGAAUGAUUAGAGGCCUUAGGGUCGAAACGAUCUUAACCUAUUCUCAAACUUUAAAUGGGUAAGAACCUUAACUUUCUUGAUAUGAAGUUCAAGGUUAUGAUAUAAUGUGCCCAGUGGGCCACUUUUGGUAAGCAGAACUGGCGCUGUGGGAUGAACCAAACGUAAUGUUACGGUGCCCAAAUUAACAACUCAUGCAGAUACCAUGAAAGGCGUUGGUUGCUUAAAACAGCAGGACGGUGAUCAUGGAAGUCGAAAUCCGCUAAGGAGUGUGUAACAACUCACCUGCCGAAGCAACUAGCCCUUAAAAUGGAUGGCGCUUAAGUUGUAUACCUAUACAUUACCGCUAAAGUAGAUGAUUUAUAUUACUUGUGAUAUAAAUUUUGAAACUUUAGUGAGUAGGAAGGUACAAUGGUAUGCGUAGAAGUGUUUGGCGUAAGCCUGCAUGGAGCUGCCAUUGGUACAGAUCUUGGUGGUAGUAGCAAAUAAUCGAAUGAGACCUUGGAGGACUGAAGUGGAGAAGGGUUUCGUGUGAACAGUGGUUGAUCACGAGUUAGUCGGUCCUAAGUUCAAGGCGAAAGCCGAAAAUUUUCAAGUAAAACAAAAAUGCCUAACUAUAUAAACAAAGCGAAUUAUAAUACACUUGAAUAAUUUUGAACGAAAGGGAAUACGGUUCCAAUUCCGUAACCUGUUGAGUAUCCGUUUGUUAUUAAAUAUGGGCCUCGUGCUCAUCCUGGCAACAGGAACGACCAUAAAGAAGCCGUCGAGAGAUAUCGGAAGAGUUUUCUUUUCUGUUUUAUAGCCGUACUACCAUGGAAGUCUUUCGCAGAGAGAUAUGGUAGAUGGGCUAGAAGAGCAUGACAUAUACUGUUGUGUCGAUAUUUUCUCCUCGGACCUUGAAAAUUUAUGGUGGGGACACGCAAACUUCUCAACAGGCCGUACCAAUAUCCGCAGCUGGUCUCCAAGGUGAAGAGUCUCUAGUCGAUAGAAUAAUGUAGGUAAGGGAAGUCGGCAAAUUAGAUCCGUAACUUCGGGAUAAGGAUUGGCUCUGAAGAUUGAGAUAGUCGGGCUUGAUUGGGAAACAAUAACAUGGUUUAUGUGCUCGUUCUGGGUAAAUAGAGUUUCUAGCAUUUAUGUUAGUUACUUGUUCCCCGGAUAGUUUAGUUACGUAGCCAAUUGUGGAACUUUCUUGCUAAAAUUUUUAAGAAUACUAUUUGGGUUAAACCAAUUAGUUCUUAUUAAUUAUAACGAUUAUCAAUUAACAAUCAAUUCAGAACUGGCACGGACUUGGGGAAUCCGACUGUCUAAUUAAAACAAAGCAUUGUGAUGGCCCUAGCGGGUGUUGACACAAUGUGAUUUCUGCCCAGUGCUCUGAAUGUCAAAGUGAAGAAAUUCAAGUAAGCGCGGGUCAACGGCGGGAGUAACUAUGACUCUCUUAAGGUAGCCAAAUGCCUCGUCAUCUAAUUAGUGACGCGCAUGAAUGGAUUAACGAGAUUCCUACUGUCCCUAUCUACUAUCUAGCGAAACCACAGCCAAGGGAACGGGCUUGGAAUAAUUAGCGGGGAAAGAAGACCCUUUUGAGCUUGACUCUAAUCUGGC
rnacentral:rRNA from 1 species